UACCCUCUUCAGUAAUGGAGUUUAACUUGCAUACAAUUGACAAUGUAAAUAAAUCUUGCACUACUACGUUACAUUUAUAAUUGUAGCUGGUAAAUUGCUUUAAUUUUCAAGAUUAUAAAUUCAACUCGUGCUCAAAGUAAAAAAUUACCAAGCCGCGAAUAUAAUGCAGGAGCAAUCACACUUUUUGCUCCCAAGUACAUGUCCUUUUGAACCUCAAACAAAUAACAGUUCGGUUCAUUCACAAACCAUCCCGCAUUCAUGCCAGUUCAAGGGCCGCACCCCUAGAAGUGUGAAUAUGUGAUGCAACCAGCCUACACUAUGCAACUAUCGAAAUUAAAUUUAUCAAGAAUGUUUAUCACUACAAAAAUUCAACUGACUCCAUUGAGAUGAGGCCAUUGACAACUCGUCAUCCAAUUGCAAAAGGGAUAGUGGUUCACAAGAUGAACUUGAAAUGAAACCAGAGAGAUUUACUUCACAUGUAGGUCAUCCAUGCAACAUUCAAUUAAGGGGGGAAAGAUAAAAAAUAGACCUCUACCAUAUGAAAUACCUUAAUUUUGCCCUCCGUUGUACUUUGAAGCCAUUCAUACCCUUGUACUUAGCAACCUCUCAUAUUGAACCUUGACAACUCGAACAGGAAUAUAAUGGAGGGUAGUUUUAAUCCAUCAUCAAAACUGAAGGAGUAAAUUUGAACUUUUUCCCCGAAGUAUUCUGACACAUGGAAUCCAUCUAAUCUCUGCUGGGGCUCCAUUAAAGUCAAGGGGGGAAAACGAAACAAUUUACUAAUGGCAAAGGUAUGAAUUGACCCAAAGAUAACG
rnacentral:lncRNA from 1 species